GACGAACGCUGGCGGCGUGCCUAAUACAUGCAAGUAGAACGCUGAAGGAGGAGCUUGCUUCUCUGGAUGAGUUGCGAACGGGUGAGUAACGCGUAGGUAACCUGCCUGGUAGCGGGGGAUAACUAUUGGAAACGAUAGCUAAUACCGCAUAAUAGUAGAUGUUGCAUGACAUUUGCUUAAAAGGUGCAAUUGCAUCACUACCAGAUGGACCUGCGUUGUAUUAGCUAGUUGGUGAGGUAACGGCUCACCAAGGCGACGAUACAUAGCCGACCUGAGAGGGUGAUCGGCCACACUGGGACUGAGACGCGGCCCAGACUCCUACGGGAGGCAGCAGUAGGGAAUCUUCGGCAAUGGACGGAAGUCUGACCGAGCAACGCCGCGUGAGUGAAGAAGGUUUUCGGAUCGUAAAGCUCUGUUGUAAGAGAAGAACGAGUGUGAGAGUGGAAAGUUCACACUGUGACGGUAUCUUACCAGAAAGGGACGGCUAACUACGUG
rnacentral:rRNA from 1 species